CAGUAGCCGCGGUAAUACGGAGGGAGCUAGCGUUGUUCGGAAUUACUGGGCGUAAAGCGCGCGUAGGCGGUUACUCAAGUCAGAGGUGAAAGCCCGGGGCUCAACCCCGGAACUGCCUUUGAAACUAGGUGACUAGAAUCUUGGAGAGGUCAGUGGAAUUCCGAGUGUAGAGGUGAAAUUCGUAGAUAUUCGGAAGAACACCAGUGGCGAAGGCGACUGACUGGACAAGUAUUGACGCUGAGGUGCGAAAGCGUGGGGAGCAAACAGGAUUAGAGACCCCCGUAGUCCCUGUCUCUUAUAC
rnacentral:rRNA from 1 species